rnacentral:rRNA from 1 species
CUUGAACGCUGGCGGCAGGCCUAACACAUGCAAGUCGAACGAGUGGCGGACGGGUGAGUAAUGUCUGGGAAACUGCCUGAUGGAGGGGGAUAACUACUGGAAACGGUAGCUAAUACCGCAUACCAUCAGAUGUGCCCAGAUGGGAUUAGCUAGUAGUUGGGGUAACGACUCACCAAGGCGCCGAUCCCUAGCUGGUCUGAGAGGAUGACCAGCCACACUGGAACGGAGACACGGUCCAGACUCCUACGUGAGGCAGCAGUGGGGAAUAUUGCACAAUGGGCGCAAGCCUGAUGCAGCCAUGCCGCAUGUAUGAAGAAGGCCUUCGGGUUGUAAAGUACUUUCAGCGGGGAGGCGUUACUCGCAGAAGAAGCACCGGCUAACUCCGUGCCAGCAGCCGCGGUAAUAC